GUGCUCGCUUCGGCAGCACAUAUACUAAAAUUGGAACGAUACAGAGAAGAUUAUCAUGGCCCCUGCGCAAGGAUGACAUGUAAAAUGAGAUCAUUUUAGCAUGAGU
ensembl:snRNA U6 U6 spliceosomal RNA